CGUUAAUUUCCUAUGUCAUAAUGUUGUGGAAUAACUUCAGAAAGUCCUAUGAAUCAAAAGUCAUUGACUAGUAACUUUUUUCUUAAACUUUUUAUUUUGAAAAACAGUAAGUUGAAGAAAAAGGGAGGAAUGCAUGUGAACUUCACUUGUGUUCAGGAAUUAACACUCUACGAUACUAGUCCCUGUGUGUGAACUGUGUGCAUGGAGUGUGUGCUGUGUGUGCAUAGCUGUGUGUGGGAGCACAUGUUAGUGUGUGCAGGGCAUAUGUGUGCUAUGCAUUGUGUGCAUGCACAUUCAUGUGCUAGUGUGUGUGUAUUUGUGUUGUGUAUGUGCAUAUGUUAGAGUGUGUGCUGCACAUAUGUGUUCACCUGUGUGUUCGCUGGAACCACUUGCAAGUUGGUUGCAGACUAAACUGGGCCCCAAAUACAUCAGCACAUCCUGCUCAGUCGAUCCCGUGUUGCCAUGUGAGGUCACGGAUCUUGGGCAUUUAAGUGGGUGGAGCAGGCUGUCCUAACAGAGUCUGUCUCCCCGCCAUGGUAGCUGUCUCAGUAAUGUCCUUCACAUCUUCUCUAAGCCCCAUUCGAGGUUCCACUUGGGCCCCCAUUGCAUUCAGCCACCUCUCCCGGAUCUCCUUUAAGCCACAAUGUCGUGAUGGGAGAGCCUGGCCAGGGCUGUGGACCCCCCUUCUGUGGCCCUUGCCUCCAGGCCCCGAACGUGGCUCCUGUGUCCGCAUCAGUCAGCACAGCCCCGACUGGGAUCAGCCACACAGCCUCCUUCCUUGGAGGGUCCUGAAUCCAGUCAAGGGGUUGAUUCUCCCAAAAUUCAGCAUGAGAAGUGGGGGUUGAUAGACCCCCUGGGUGUGAGAUCCUGUGCUUUUGAAAGAGCAGGCAGUGGGCAUGUGGGAUGGAUAUGGGCCAGCCGAAGGGGACAGGCGGGCUGCAGGUGGAAACAGGCAAGUGCCCAAGGAGCUCGGGCUCUGGGUUCCCCAGUUGAGCAGCUUCUGUGCCCCAACCUCUCCCUGUGAUCCCCCCACUCUGCACAUGUUGCCAUGAAGCAGGACCUGGGGGCCAGGCUCUCAGUACCCUGAACACACUCCACCCGGACUGUGCGGGACCGUCCUGCCCAGCUUCCAGGGCAGCCACUCCUGAGGAGACCAGGAUGCUGGCAUCAGGCCACAUCUGGUCUGUCCUUGCUGGAGCCUAGGCUGCACUAUGAAAAGCUCCUGGCUGAUGCCUGGGUCCUGACCGUCAUGUGGCCAGAGAAAUUGGGAACAUUUUGCUUUGCAUGGUGAAAUGUUUAGUGACAGAGAGACUGUGCAGUUGCCUGAGGAGGGUGAGGUGUAGAGCCCAGUGUGGAUUUAUUCACCAAGAAAUGGACAUCCUACUUCCCACAGGAGGCUGAGCCCCUGUCCAAAGAUGAGAGACUCCACGUGGGUGACCUGUGCCUCCCAGGGGAGCAGCCCUAAGCCAGUUUAAACCUGACCAAGUUCUGUGGACACAGUAGAUUUAGACCUCUCCAUGUGCUGUCUACACUGAGUGUGUUCAGACCUGACCAUGUGCUGUCUACAGUGAGAACACUUAGAUUGACAGGUUCUGCCCACGCUAGGAUGUGGGGGCCUGGGUGGAGACCCAUCCUCAGUCUUGGAGCUUCAGGGCGAUGUGGGGACCUGAGGAAGACCUGGCCUCAGUCCUGGGAAGUUCCACGCCUCUGUCUGAAUGUCAGUGCUUAAGUGUUGGGUCUAGAGUUAUGCGGGCUUGUCUGUUAGCAGUGUCUGCUCUGAACAUGGUGACCUGGCCUCCCAGGGGUCAGUGCCAUGGGAGGGCCCAAGUCCUACCCCUGCAAUGGCCACCUUCCCUUGGGGUUGGGUGCAGACCCCUCACCUGGGCUACCUCACAAUGACUCCCAUUCAGCAGCACACACAGGGCGAGGAGGGGGCAGGUUUCCCUGGUAAACUGAUUGCUGGGCUCGUGGAUCUCCAUUUAAGGCCAAAGGGCAGCAGGUGAGGCGGCCUUUAGAGUCUCCUUCCCACUUGGCCGAGCCCAGACCUGCGUCUUCGCUUUCAGCUCUGCUGUCCCACGAGUUUUCUCAUCACCUCAGUGAGACGAAAGGGCUGAGCCUGCCAGAGUCAAGAGUGUUCCCAAGACUCCACGAAGGUGGCGUGAUGGGAGGCCUGGGACCCCAGAGGCCAUGUUCCUGUCCGGAAGCUCAGGCAGCACAUCCACCCUGGACUCCAGAUUCACCCCGCGUCUCUGCCAUCUCCCUCUGUCAUGUCUUGAACCCAGGAAAACAACGUGAACUGAUCAUUUUCCACAAUAUAGGCCUGGUCAUGUCAGAAUCAGGGCCUCUAAUUUAGGCGUCCUGGAAUAGGAGCUGUUUUGGGGCCUAAAGAGGGAACAGCUAAUGAGUUAAAAUAUUUUCAGGUGAAAUUAAUAUUCAAUGAUUAGAUUACUGGAAUAGGAGCUGUUUUUAGGCCUAAAGACGGAACAGCUAAUGACUGCAAAACAUUUUCAGGUGAAAUUAAUAUUCAAUGAUUAGAUUACUGGAAUAGGAGCUGUUUUAGGCCUAAAGAGGGAACAGCUAAUGACUGCAAAACAUUUUCAGGUAAAAUUAAUAUUCAAUGAUUAGAUUACUGGAAUAGGAGCUGUUUUAGGCCUAAAGAGGGAACAGCUAAUGACUGCAAAACAUUUUCAGGUGAAAUUAAUAUUCAAUGAUUCUAUUACUCAGCUGUUGACUUCUAUUAGUCAUAAUUCUCCUGGUUUUAGAUCUGAUGUGGAGGUUUAAAUCUUCCCCAUCUGUGUAUUUGUAGCUUCAGGGUCAUUGAUGACCUGUGGUUUUUAGGGAGGAGUGACUGAUUUCAUGUAUCAUGUAGAGGACUGGCAAUGCGGAUGGGAAGUUAAGAUUAGAACAGUGGGAGUUCCCGCUGUGGCGAAACGGGAUCAGCAGCGUCUCUGGAGCAAUGGGAAGCGGUUUCCAUCCCCAGCCCAGCACAGUGGGUUAAGAACCCAGCAUUGCCACAGCUGCAGCAUAGGCUGCAUCUGCAGCUCAGAUCUGAUCCCUUGCCUGGGAACUCCAGGUGCUGCAGUGUGGCCAGAAGAAGAAAAAAAAAAUGGAUCCCAGAUCAUGAUGUAGGCCAUGGAAGGUGUCAUGAAUUCCCUCUCGCUGUAACGGGAAGCCAGUAAGGCAUUUAAGAGCCAGAGUCACAUGAUUAGAUUGACUUGAGGGGCAGACAUAGGCACAAUCGUGAUGUAUCUGUGAAAUGUAAGAAUUCCGCCCUGACCUGAAUAGAAGACGGCCACUAGAAAAUCAGGAAAAAUGGGGUCAUGGUAGAUAAUGCCACCCAGAAAUGGGUUUAGACUUUACGUAAUUUUUUUUUAAAGUUUAGAACAGCAGCUGGUAAAUGGUUCAGAUUUUCCUACGUACGCAUCUAGUGUAUGUGUAUGAAUCAGUUUCGUUGUCAAUAUUAGUAAAAUAAUAUAAAAGACAAGAGAACUUAUCUAACAAUGGAUAUUUGCUGGGGUUUUGACCAAACCCACCAACAACCUACCUCUGAGCCUGGAUAGGCAAGCAGCCUUGUAGCUGCACAGGGUCCGGAAGGUACUCUGGUGCCGUCUCGUGGACAUCUGCUCUGACAGCAACUCUCAGGAUUUCCUCCUCUCUCUGCAUUGCCCUUGGGCAAUAUGCCCGUUGGUUUUCCUUCCCCCUCUUUCUUUAAAUACCGAGAAGUGCUCCACUAAGUAAGCUGUCUCGCUGAAUGUCUUCCAAGACACUGAGGCCAACCUACACCAGAACAAUCCAUUCACAACCUCAGCUCCAACCCAUCAUGUCAUGACAGCCUUAUUCAAUUUUUCAUGUAUUUGUGCACUUAUGUUUCUAUGAAUGUAACUGUGUAUGGAUGUAAUUAUUGAUUUUCUUGACCUUGGGAACAUUACCCAUUCAUGCCUACCUAUCUUUCUUUGUUUCUUCCUUCUUUUCUUUCUCUCUUUCUUGACCCCAGCUGAAGCAUAAGUGUGUUGUCUGCCCAUCGACAUAUUUCAAGGAAGAGAAGUUAUCAAUCCCACCGCAGGGACAAAGGCAGAUCUUUACCCAGGGAGCCAGGAGGGAUCUCUGAGAGAGCUUUUCUUUAUAUCAAUCUACCUGCCUUAAUUCCCCAGACCUUGCUUUUGAUCAGGUCUUCCUACCAGGUGUAUAGAGAGAAAAAAUGAGGCUCACAUGAAAAGAAAGGAACAGAGUUUCAGGAGACCUCUUGAGAGAAAAGGCACAAGAUUUAGAGCAGCUGCUCACCAAUCCAUCCUCCACUCACCUCCCGCAGGCACUUGAUCCAGAUCACAAACCCCCGCUCAGCCUGGGGUUUCAAAAAUGCCAGCUCCGACUUCACAAGCCAUGGUGCCAACUGUGACACUGGGGACUUGUCUGGCCAGGUUGUGAUCUCCAAAUGCAGCUCUUAUCACAGCCCCAGCAGUGACAGAGACAAGCUCAUAACCAGGCAGCCAUGAGGGAACUCCAUGAGAGCUUUCUCGAUAUCAAUAAACUUUGCCUAAUUCAUCAGACCUGGGUUUGGUCAGGCCUCCAUAGCCUGGUGUGGUAGUGAAACAGAGGCUUCUGUGGAAAGGCAAGGGGGAAGUUUCACUAGGUCUCUUGAAUGAAAAAAAGCAUAAGGAUUAGUACAGCCACCAGCCAAAAUACCACCGAAUUCCACCAUCCAUUCAUCAGCACCAGCCUAUAUCCUGAUACCUAAACCCGCGACAAUCGGGGGCUUGACAAUUCCCAGCACGUGAAUCAAAACAGAGAGUGUGUGGGUCCCAGCUCCUGCCUCUGGAAGAACAGAAGGCAAUCUGAAACCCAGUGAAACCCUCAAGCAUUCUAAAUGCUCUGCCAACUGACCAGGCUGCAAAUCCACAUCCAGUGCUGAAGAGACACCUGUUUCCUCUGCCUGACAUGAGGCAUCUUGGAGCAGAGUCACCAGAGCCUGGAAAGCCAUGCCAAACCUCUGACUGCUGGCUGGAGGUUCUACCAAAACCACCAUCAACCUCACCUCUGAGCCUGCACUCACAGCCUUGAAGCUGCACAGGGGUCCAGAAGGUACUAUGGCUCUGUCUUGGGGACAUCUGCUCUAACAGCAACUCUCAGGCUUUCCUCCUCUCUGGCUCAGCAGCCCCCGGGGCUGUAUUGGCCUUGGGCAAUAUGCAGGUCAGCUUCCUUCCCCCUCUUUAUUACUGAGAAGCGCCUGCCAAUAUGGGCUAUAUCUCUCUCAAAGUCUUUCAGAGCAGUGAGCCCAACUUAACUCCAAUCCUAACCCUAACCCUCUAAUCCUAACCCCAAACCCUAAGCCUCUAACCCUAACCUCUCACCCCAAGCCAAACCCUAACACCGAACCUGAUCCCAAAGCCCAACCAGAACCCAAACCCUGACCCCUAACCCCAACCCUAAACCCUAACCCUAACCCAUCAGGUGCCUAUGGUUGUGGGAAAUGGGCCUUGCUCCUCAGGUUCUGUACAAAGAGCAUGUGGAGUCCUGAGGGUCAAGGUAGACGUGGGGCUGCAGCUCUAGCUCAUUUUCUAAUUUUAUCUGGCUCACGAGUGGGAGACUAUUUCAAGAAGAUUCUCUCCUCAUGAGAGAAAUCCUGUAAGAAGGGAGAAGAGGGGAGGUGGGUGGAAACAGGGGCCGGGUACCCUGGUGCAUUGGAAGCCUCUGGAAGACCCACUGGAGGGAGGCUGCACGGAGAAACGUCCAGGGGCACAGACCUGCCCAGCAGCUGCUGUUAGUUCAGACACUGCUCUAAGGUGAGCUCCAUAUCCUGGGAGGAGCCUGCCCUCGUGAGCUCCAGGGGCUUCUGGGUUAUUGCUCUGGUG
rnacentral:lncRNA from 1 species